rnacentral:rRNA from 1 species
GAGUGAACGCUGGCGGCAGGCCUAAUACAUGCAAGUCGAACGGCAGCACGGCAGAGCUUGCUCUGUGGGUGGCGAGUGGCGGACGGGUGAGGAAUACAUGGGAAUCUGCCCAGUCGUGGGGGAUAACGUAGGGAAACUUACGCUAAUACCGCAUGCGCCCUUCGGGGGAAAGCCGGGGACCUUCGGGCCUGGCGCGAUUGGAUGAGCCCAUGUCGGAUUAGCUAGUUGGCGGGGUAAUGGCCCACCAAGGCGACGAUCCGUAGCUGGUCUGAGAGGAUGAUCAGCCACACUGGAACUGAGACACGGUCCAGACUCCUACGGGAGGCAGCAGUAGGGAAUAUUGGACAAUGGGCGCAAGCCUGAUCCAGCCAUGCCGCGUGAGUGAAGAAGGCCCUCGGGUUGUAAAGCUCUUUUGUCCGGAAAGAAAAGCGCCGGGUUAAUACCCUGGUGUCCUGACGGUACCGGAAGAAUAAGCACCGGCUAACUUCGUG